GGGCGAUUGGUUUAGUGGUAUAAUACCCCCUUAGCAUUGUUGGUUGCUCUCGCAUUACCCCACCAGCGUGGGGGUGGUCCAGGGUUCGAUUCCCUGAUCGUCCA